ensembl:lncRNA
GUUGGCACAGAUUACCUUGGAAGAACAUUUCCUGUGUGUAGCUGUAGUCUCUGAAGUUGUUUUUGAGGACAAGGACAUUUAGACUUUUGCGAGAAGGAUGUGGAACUGUCCCUCUGACUCCAUGGACGUGUGUAAAGGAACGAAUGAAUGUGCGAAUGCCUCCAUCUUGUCUCCCUGUUCCCUCUCUCUGUGCGUGCUGGAGAAGGCACCUCUCACCCCAGCCCACUUCAGGUGUGCUGGUUGCCUCCGCUGACGCUGGGGCUGCCCCUUUGUGGGGCGAGCACAACGGUCCCAGCGCCACCUAGCGGCCAGGGAGCCUGGGAGUUGCGCGUCUCGUUUCCCAGUCCAUGGGAUCCGCGGACUACGCCACCUCGCAGAGUUCCGACGCUCUGGCCACUGCCUCCGUCUGUUUUGUUCUCUCCGGUCCAGAGAGUGCGGAGACUUCCGGGGAGCGAACGUGUACGGGUUUCCAGAGUAACCCCGACAACAGGCAGUGAGAUGGCAGCUCUGAGCAGCUUGCUCUAGAACCAACUGUGCGUCCUCCACUUGGACCAAUACCAAUGGGAGAAGCUGGCCAAGCUCUGAGAAGCCGUGCACACCCAAGGAGCAGAGAUGCCAUGGCUUUUUGGUGGUAUUGGCAGGAUGAUACCAGAGGCUAAAUGAUAAGAGCUGAAUGAAUUCUCCAGGUUCCCAAGUCUUUGCUGCCUUUCAUUCUUGUCUCUUGGCCCUGGUCCUUGGCUCACCCUUCCCUGUCCUGUGCUGAGCGGGGUAGUGCCUGUGUGCUGAAGCUGUAGCUGGUGCUAAAAGGGGUUGGGGGAAGGCAGAGCCUGACCUGGAGUGGGGGCAGAGGUACUGGGGCCAAGGUAGUACGCCCCUUCUCCUGGUAGCAGCUAUGACAUUGAAAGGGGCACCCCUACUUUGCUCAGCCCUGGCUUCUGAUGUUUUAGGGUAGGCCCAAGUGGAGUGAAGGAGGGGCUUCUCACUGUCCUGCCACCAUCUGCUGGAGUCCCCUGAGCUGGCACCAGCCAACUGACUUCCAGCACAGUGUAUGAAGCAGCCUUGAACCCCUGGCCACAUCUGUCUUAGCUACACAUGAGGCCUUGUGAUGUGCUAGGGGCCCAUGGCCAGGUGAAGGGGAACAGAGUCAGAAGACAGUGCUCCUGUUCUCACCACCAUAGGCAAAGUGAAAAGGGAGGGAGGACAAGGUCCCAGGGAAGUGCAGACCCCUCAAUUCUGGGAUAUAUGAGUCAGAGAGUCGGCACGUUGGGGGGGCAGUCAACACUCAGGUAUUUGGCUGCUCUGCUAUAGCCUGAGUCCACCCCUUCUUCCCUCUGAGCCCCAAGUCCAGGGCUGCAGAGCUUUCCCCAGCUCUGCCAGUCUAUGACUCUCAGUACCAGUGAUUUGUCUAACAGGCCUCGGGGAGGUGCCUUAACCUCGGUGCCUCAGAGUGGCAUAACAAUAGUACCUGUCUCAUAGGGUUAUUAUGGGGAUUAAAUGAUUUAAAUAUAAAGUGUACAGAAUGGCACCUGCCACACAGGAAGUGCCACAUAAGUAUUAGUUAUUAUAAUAAUUAUUAUUUCUCAGGCUAUUUCAAAGACCAUAGCAUGUUGUUUUAAGACUGCAGGCUUUGGAGUCAAGCAGACUUGGGUUGGAGUCCUAGGUGUUCCCCUUUUAGGCUCUGUGACCUUGGGAAAGCGGCUUCACACUCUGAGUCUGUGAAGUGGGGCUGAUCAUAACAUUACUGCCUUUGGAUGAGACAGCUAAGACCUGCUCAAUGGCUGUAAAACGCCUGCUGUGACAUUGCUUUGUCUUCUUGCUUGGAAAGUGGGUUUAGGACAGUCUCUGUGGGAGAAAGUAGGACUUGUGAAACACAGCUGUGACCUUCAGGAUGGCCAAAUUGUGCAGGAGAUUUCUUAUGCAGAGGGCUUGCUCUUGGCUGGACAAUGUGAAGAAUCCUCGUUUUGCUUCUCAGACACCCUGGGACCCAGGAACAGGGAGGUGGCAGGUAGGUGAUGGGGUUGGUCCUGCCUGGGCUUCUCCACAUGCUGUGGUUAGAGCCAUGAAGGACACAGGCUGGGCUUUACUGGGGAACCAGGUGCCUGCCGAUGGUGACACCACACUGAGGAGGCCCGACACAGAGAGACAAGUAAGCUAUGGAUCACUCCCUAGAGAGUCUUCCCCUACUGCCAGUCUCAGCUGGGUCCCCUGUUAAAGGCCACUACAGCUCUCCAUUCUUUGUAUCCCCAGCUCGCAUCACAAUUUUCCAAAUGUGAAAGAGGGGCUGUGGGUGUAGCUCAGUGGUAGGGCACAUGCUUAGCACACACAGGGCCCUGGGUUCCAUGCUCCAUCCUCAGUAGGUGAGGGAGGAAGGUAGGGAGGGAGGGAAUAAGGGAAGGAGGGAGGGAGAGCGGGAGAGAGAUUAUUUUAUGAUGUCUGAAUGGUUCAUGAAAAACAGCUCCUGGAAUAUAUGCCCAGUCGUAUUUACAUGACUGAAUAAAUAACAAUAGCAGUUAGUACUUACUUACCUUUUGUUAUGUGUCAACCAUUAUUCAAGAACCUAAUAUAUAUUAAUCAAUUUAAACCUCACAGUACUGCUAUGACAUAUCCAUUAAAAUCAUUUCUAAUUUCAGAAGAGGAAGCUGAGGCACAGAAAGAUUAUAUAACUUGCCCAAGGCCACACAGCCAUCAACUGGUGGAACUGGGAUUCAAUUCAGCCAGGCAGUUUGGCUGAGCCUUGGUUCCUACCACACUGUCCCCCGAGCUGUACCCCUUCCUGCCUGAUCUUUGCACCCUCAGCAUUUCUCUUCCUAAUUGCUUGGCUGACAGCAUGCUGUGUUCUUUCUCCCAGUCAGACCUCCCCCUGCCACAGUUAGCUCUCGCCCAGGCAUUCCCUUCCUUUGUCAUAUGCCUUCCAGGCUGGAUGUGAUCCAGGAACGCAAGAAGGAACAUGACCUCUGCUGUCCUCUUGGCGUCCUCCCCUGCUCUUCCCUGGGACUCCUGCUCAAGGCAGGGCAGGUCUCAGCACAGUCCUGCCAACUGCAGCACUGUUGGUCCUGUUGGUGAUGAAUAAGAAACAUGGACUUUCAAAGGCCCAUUUACUUGGUCCAGGUUGCACAGUGGAAGAGGUAGAGACAAAAUCUGAUGUCAGGGAUUUGACUCAAAGUCAGUGCAAGUCUGAUGUCCAGUAUGUGAUUUGAGGUCAGUCCCGGGUCCACAGGUGAGGGGGAUUGGCUGGGGUUGGAGCAGGUAUUUGGAGGUCAUUGUGGUGACUGGGAUGCUGUCCAUAGUGUCUGGAGCAGGGAGGUUUUUCUCAUAGCUGGGGACUAUCACAUUCAGGGGCAUUAGCCUCUGGGGAGGAAGGAAGAAACUCCCUCACAGAGAGGCAGUGCAGCAGCCAUGGAGGUGAAGGCAGGAGAGGAUCUGAGCAGUGUUCAGGGAAGUUGGCAGCAGGGGUCUCAGGGAAGGGGACCCUAUGGGUGCCCCAUCCCCAGAAGUGUAACGGUGUCCAGUCCUGUGGGUUGAAGACCAUGGCAGUGCCCAAGGUCUCUGGGGCAAGGACUCAAACCACACACCUGCACAGACAUGCUCUGUCCUUGGCUGUCUACCUGCUGUCACAGAAGCAAACAGGCCUGUGCCUGGCCCACUCUGACAACAACACGUCAUCUCCUGGCACUUAUCUUGGCUCUCAGGUUCCCAGCCCUACCCACAUGCAGCCUGUGUGUGUGUGUGUGUGUGUGUGUGUGUGUGUGUGUGUGUGUGUGUGUAUCUUCCACCUUGGCCUGCAUAAUUCUCUCAAUUCUCUGCUGUUUAUAGGCCUCUCUUGGGUUUGUACAAACACAUGUGCACUUCACACACACACACACACACACACACACACACACACACACCCCUCAGUCUAAACUCUGCUUCUCAGUCUCUCCAAUUCAUGUGCAGCCCUGGGUCCUGGAGAACCCCGUUCAUCUUUAAAGGGCCAGGGCUAUUUCUCUUCCCACUGCCUGCUGCCUCCUGCUUUCUUGUGGGCUCAGCUGUGGAGGGGUCUCUGCCAGGCCUGCUGUUGAAUUAGUCCCUGGAAGGUCUUAGGUUCCUGCCCCAGGCUCCAUGCAGGCUUCCCCCACCUGGCCACAGAGCUGGGCAGCCCCCUCCUGGAAGUGGCAUCCCCAGGAGCAGCUGGCCAAGGAAUGACCCUAUAGCUGGGGACAGGCAGGCUGGAAGGGCUUUGUCUGUCUUGGAUUCUUUUCUGUAAAAAUUUUUGUGUAUUUGCCAUGAUGUUCCAUUCAUUUCAGCUGAUGUCACUGUGGUGCACUGGAGCAUCACUGACAUCUGUGUCAAGCAGGAGUAGAGCCAUGACCCGGGAGUCAGGAACCCCUAGACUGGUUCUAGAGGAACCUUAGUUUCCUUAUCAGAUAGAGGAGGGGGUUGGAAGCAAUGGUCUUUGGUGGUUUCAUUCUAAAAUUUUGAGUCACCGUUUGUGGUGACAAAUGCC